CGGAAGGCAGCAGUGAGGAAUAUUGGUCAAUGGACGAGAGUCUGAACCUGCCAAGUAGCGUGCAGGAGGACGGCCCUAUGGGUUGUAAACUGCUUUUGUACGGGAAUAAAGUGACCUACGUGUAGGUUUUUGCAUGUACCGUAAGAAUAAGGACCGGCUAAUUCCGUGCCAGCAGCCGCGGUAAUACGGAAGGUCCGGGCGUUAUCCGGAUUUAUUGGGUUUAAAGGGAGCGUAGGCCGUGCUUUAAGCGUGUUGUGAAAUGUAGGCGCCCAACGUCUGCACUGCAGCGCGAACUGGAGCACUUGAGUACGCAGGAAGUAGGCGGAAUUCGUCGUGUAGCGGUGAAAUGCUUAGAUAUGACGAAGAACUCCGAUUGGGAAGCCAGCUUACUGUAGCGCCACUGACGCUGAUGCUCGAAAGCGUGGGUAUCGAACAGGAUUAGAUACCCUGGUA
rnacentral:rRNA from 1 species